CCUUCGAUAGCUCAGUUGGAAGAGCGCAAGACUGUAAUGGUUAUCACGCGAUCUUGAGGCCGUUGGUUCGACCCCGACUCGAAGGA